CAUGGUUCUCCAUGCCGUAAUGGUCAUCAUGACUCGUCAUCGUAACAGUGCAGUGUAGUUGAGUCAGUUGAGUGUAGUGGUCAUGGUCAGUGGUAAUGGUGUAAUACUUUGCAAGUGCCGUGUUCUUAUAUGUAAUAUUUUUACAUUGAAUUGGACUAUUUUGCAUAAUAUCGGAUCUCCGUGGAUAAAAAAAACCUCAGGAAUUUGUGGAAUAAUAUUGCCAAACAUUGGUAAAUUAGAACUUCUGGUUCAAAGGCUAUUACCAAGGUCGUAAAGUAUAAAGGAAAUUGUGGAAUAAUAUUGCCAAACAUUGGAAAAUUAGAAUUUCUGGUUCAACGGCUACUACCAAAGUCGUAGAGUAUAAAGGAAAUUGUGGAAUAAUAUUGCCAAACAUUGGAAACAAUACGAGAGCAAGCAUUUCAUACUUUAUUGUUGGCAGACCUCACAUAUUUUAUUUUAUAAGUUCUCUCGAAGAGGUGUAUGGACGGUGGUAAUUCCCUCGAUGAUUGUUCAGAAUUUUCCAUUUUGAUCGAUUUCGAUAAUAAAACCACAAAAACUGUAUCAAGCACAGAGCGGGCAGCAUGUCGCAACUUACAUCAAGCACAAACCAGCACAAAUUCGAAAGAAUUUCCGAUAUGUGAUUGAUUUUCGUCAGCGAGAUGCAUCGCGUAUGCAUAUGGGCGAAACAAUGAAACAACGAAGUCUUCCGUGAACACAACUGUGUGGCGGGCACAACUUUUUGAAACAGUAGUUCUCAACAAUUCUAAUACGAAUCCGAAAAAUAAUCAAUAUAAAGAAUUUUUUAAAAGAUUUUGCACAUAUCUUUUCAUUGUAGAUAAGAAUGUAUUUCGCAAUUUUUAUAUAUUUGUAUUUUUAAUUAUUUUUAGCUUCUUUAAAAAUUUGUUUGGAAUGACAGGUGGACGCCUGAUAUGAAACUCACAUACCAAUUUGAAUGGCAUUAUUUCAUUUGUAUCCAUUAUCA